rnacentral:rRNA from 1 species
UACGUAGGGAGCAAGCGUUGUCCGGAAUCAUUGGGCGUAAAGCGCGCGUAGGCGGCUCGAUCAGUCUGUUGCGAAAGUCAAAGGCUCAACCUUUGAAUGCCGAUGGAUACUGUCGAGCUAGAGUCCGGAAGAGGCGAGUGGAAUUCCUGGUGUAGCGGUGGAAUGCGCAGAUAUCAGGAGGAACACCAACGGCGAAGGCAGCUCGCUGGGACGGUACUGACGCUGAGGAGCGAAAGCGUGGGGAGCGAACAGG